CUUGUUUAAGUAUAAGAGGUCCAGCCUGCCCAGUGAUAAUUUAUUCAACGGCCGCGUGAUUUAAAGCGCGCAAAGGUAGCGUAAUCACUUGUUCUUUAAAUGAGGACUCGAAUCAACGGCACCACGAGGGCUAUACUGUCUCCUUCUCCUAAUCAGUGAAACUAAUCUCCCUGUGAAAAAGCAGGAAUAUCCCUAUAAGACGAGAAGACCCCAUGGAGCUUUAAACAUAACAACACCUUUAAAACUUAAUCAUCUACCUUAUUAACCUGAAAGCAUUGUAUGUUAGUUUUAGGUUGGGGCGACCGCGGAGUAUAAUAGAACCUCCAUAACGAAAGGGCGUAAAUCCUUACUUGAGAAAAACAUUUCUACAAAUUAUUAACAUAACGUUUAAUGACCCGAUCAUCGAUUAACGAACCA
rnacentral:rRNA from 1 species